GUUUAUCAAAAACAUGUCUUUUUGAAUUUAAUUUAAAGUCUAACCUGCCCACUGAAUUAAUUUAAAUGGCCGCAGUAUUUUAACUGUGCAAAGGUAGCAUAAUCAUUAGUCUUUUAAUUGAAGGCUGGAAUGAAUGGUUGAAUGAAAUAUUAACUGUUUCAUAUAAAUUUUUAAUAGAAUUUUAUUUUUUAGUUAAAAAGCUAAAAUUUAAUUAAAAGACGAGAAGACCCUAUAAAUCUUUAUAUUUUAUUGGGGUGAUAUUAAAAUUUAAUAAACUUUUAAUUUAAAAUAAACAUAAAUUAAUGAAUUAUUGAUCCAUAAAUUAUGAUUAAAAAAUUAAGUUACUUUAGGGAUAACAGCGUAAUUUUUUUAGAGAGUUCUUAUUGAUAAAAAAGAUUGCGACCUCGAUGU
rnacentral:rRNA from 1 species